rnacentral:rRNA from 1 species
GAUUAACGCUAGCGGCAGGCCUAAUACAUGCAAGUCGAACGGGAUUUCGGGUAGCAAUAUCUGAAUGAGAGUGGCGCACGUGUGCGUAACACGUAUGCAAUCUGCCUCUGACUGGGGAAUAGCCUUCCGAAAGGAAGAUUAACACCGCAUAAAAUAAUGAAGUGGCAUCACUUUAUUAUUAAAACUCCGGUGGUUAGAGAUGAGCAUGCGUCCGAUUAGCUAGUUGGGGAGGUAACGGCUCACCAAGGGGACGAACGGUAGGGGGUCUGAGAGAAUGAUCCCCCACACUGGUACUGGGACACGGACCAGACUCCUACGGGAGGGAGCAGUAAGGAAUAUUGGACAAUGGUCGGAAGACUGAUCCAGCCAUGCCGCGUGAAGGAUGAAUGCCCUAUGGGUUGUAAACUUCUUUUAAACGGGAAAAAACCCCUCUACGUGUAGAGGGCUGAUGGUACCGUAAGAAUAAGGAUCGGCUAACUUCGUGCCAGCCGCCGCUGUAA